AUGCAUGUCUCAGUACACACUUCUUCAAGGUGAAACCGCGAAUGGCUCAUUAAAUCAGUCGAUGUUUACCAGAUGACACGAUCCGACUUGGAUAACUGUGGCAAUUCUAGAGCUAAUACAUGCCUCUGAAGCUCCGACCAUGGCGACAUGGGAAGAGCGCUUUUAUUAGUUCAAAACCAAUCGUCGUCCGGGCAACCGGCGGCGCUCACAUUGGUGACUCUGGAUAACUUUGUGCUGAUCGCAUGGCCUUGUGCCGGCGACGCAUCUGUCAAAUGUCUGCCCUAUCAAUUGUCGAUGGUACGUGAUAUGCCUACCAUGAUUAUAACGGGUAACGGGGAAUCAGGGUUCGAUUCCGGAGAGGGAGCAUGAGAAACGGCUACCACA
rnacentral:rRNA from 2 species